rnacentral:rRNA from 1 species
UACGUAGGGUGCGAGCGUUGUCCGGAAUUAUUGGGCGUAAAGAGCUUGUAGGCGGUUUGUCGCGUCUGCCGUGAAAGCCCAGGGCUUAACCCUGGGUCUGCGGUGGGUACGGGCAGACUAGAGUGUGGUAGGGGAGACUGGAAUUCCUGGUGUAGCGGUGAAAUGCGCAGAUAUCAGGAGGAACACCGGUGGCGAAGGCGGGGUCUCUGGGUAGUAACUGACGCUGAGGAACGAAAGCGUGGGGGAGCGAACAGG